rnacentral:rRNA from 1 species
UACGUGGGGCGCAAGCGUUGUCCGGAAUUAUUGGGCGUAAAGAGCUCGUAGGCGGUUUGUCGCGUCUGCUGUGAAAUCCCGAGGCUCAACCUCGGACUUGCAGUGGGUACGGGCAGACUAGAGUGUGGUAGGGGAGACUGGAAUUCCUGGUGUAGCGGUGGAAUGCGCAGAUAUCAGGAGGAACACCGAGUGGCGAAGGCAGGUCUCUGGGCCAUUACUGACACUGGAGAAG